rnacentral:rRNA from 1 species
GAUGAACGCUGGCGGCGUGCCUAAUACAUGCAAGUCGAGCGAACAGACGAGGAGCUUGCUCCUCUGACGUUAGCGGCGGACGGGUGAGUAACACGUGGAUAACCUACCUAUAAGACUGGGAUAACUUCGGGAAACCGGAGCUAAUACCGGAUAAUAUAUUGAACCGCAUGGUUCAAUAGUGAAAGACGGUUUUGCUGUCACUUAUAGAUGGAUCCGCGCCGCAUUAGCUAGUUGGUAAGGUAACGGCUUACCAAGGCAACGAUGCGUAGCCGACCUGAGAGGGUGAUCGGCCACACUGGAACUGAGACACGGUCCAGACUCCUACGGGAGGCAGCAGUAGGGAAUCUUCCGCAAUGGGCGAAAGCUUGACGGAGCAACGCCGCGUGAGUGAUGAAGGUCUUCGGAUCGUAAAACUCUGUUAUUAGGGAAGAACAAAUGUGUAAGUAACUAUGAACGUCUUGACGGUACCUAAUCAGAAAGCCACGGCUAACUACGUG